CUUAUCCUCCUUGGACUUUGGGAAGUAAAAACCCAGCCCCCCUCCCGCUGGUGUGUGGACACACUUGAGCCCGGAGGAGUGUUAAAAUUCAGCCGGAGAGGCACCCAGCACUACAGAAGCCUAGAUAAAGGGAAAGGAUUUCAGGCAAGAGGAAAAAAUAAAAUAAAGAGGCAAGACUUAAAAUGUCCUGUGAAAUGGAGAGCAUUUGGCCCUCGGCACACAUGUCUGCGGGAGAUGACUCAACUCCUUUAUAAAGUGAGGAACCAAAUUGUGAAGACAUCUGUUCUGUUAUUAAUUUCACAUAAAUCUUAAGCUCCUCAAGGCCAGAAAUGAGGCUUCAUUCACGUCGAAUUAAUGAAACAUGAUUGAACAGAACUUGGAGCAGUUUGUUUAGCUCACCACAUUGUCCUGGCACGGUGCCUAGCUGAUA